rnacentral:lncRNA from 1 species
AGCAGACAGCCAGAGCCACCCACAGUCCACGCCUGUAAUCCCCGUACUCAGGAGACUGAGGCAGGAGGAUUGCCCUGAGCUCAAAGCCAGACUAAGCUACAGGGCAAGGUCGUUGGGUGACUGGGGAUGUGGCUCAGUCAGCAGCACGGUGUUUGCCUAGCAUGCACGAGGCCCUGGGUUUGAAUCCCCAGCACACCCUCCCUCCAAAAUAGAGUGUGGGAAUGCAUGCCUGUCAUCGAUAACAUGGGAGACCAGGAAGAAAGCAAGAUAAGACUACCCCUGCUUUGGAGUCUAGAAGUUUGCAACUCUCACCCUACAUGGCAGACCCCAUAGCUGUGUACCAAGGGCCCCUUCAUGGUGUGUAUGGACCAGAAGGCUCCCACAGCGGGUGCUGAACAACUUCUGUUCUCCCCACAGCUGGAACCAGACGGACUGCUGGUGUGGGUGCUGGCCAGUGCGCUGGGCCUCAGCCUGGUCUUCUCCCUGGUCUCGGUUCCGCUCCAGUGUUUCCAGCUCAGCAAGGCCUACGGCCUCUGCCUCCUCCUCUUCUAUAUAUGUUUCAUUGUGGUGGUCCUCCUCACGGAGUUCGGGGUGAUUCACUUGAAGGCUGACUGAAGCUGCUUGGCCUGGAGGUUUAGGGGUGAUUCUGCUAGCCUCCUGAGGAGAGAACAGGAGUGGGGUGGGGGAACCCCCUGUAGUUCCCAUGUAGCUCCUGAGAAGGUAGUCUCACUGCCGGAGCUCUGCACGGAUGGGAAGGUCCUGGCUGCCGGCACCCAACAGCCUUAGCAUGGGGAUCUGGAGGCUGGUUUUGCUGGGGACAAUCCCAAGUGGGAAUGACAGAUCUGAAUGACAGCGGAGACUCUGGGGAGGGCAGCCCGUCAGCCCCCAUCCCUGCUGGGCUCUAGGCAGCCCUGUGGCUUCCUGGUAGGCUCUUCCACUCUCUGUGGUGUCAGCUGAGUCCCACGCCAGCAGUGUUGGCUGAACAGACUCCGCCAGACUGGGUCUCUCAGCCUCUGUGUCAGGUCAGCCAGAGGAAAUAGGUCAAGUUGACAGCAGCAGCAGGCAGUAAGUACUGAGUGGGGUGCCUCAGAAGCACCCAGGCUCUGCCCUUCCCAGUUGGUAGCUGCUGCAUUGGACUGUGGGACUAAAUCCUUCUAGAACAUUGUGUUCCAAACUCUGGCUCCCCGCAUCUACAAGACAGGAGCCAGCUUGGGCCCUGUGUCUACCUCAAGGGGAGCUGGGGAGUGGGAUGACCCUCCCAGGGGUGUCUUGCAAGGGGUGUGACCAGCCUUUUAAAAAUACCACUCAUUCCCUGACCGCCUUCAGCUGUAACUAGGAGACUUGACUUGUUGUUGUUGUUCAAAAAUAAAAGACUCGUUAAUUCAAGUG